UCCUAGCAGAGGCAGAAGCAGGUGCUUGAUGCGGCGCUCCCCCGUCGCUCCUCUUCUGCAUCUGGUACAGGCGCUCGAUGCGGUGCUCCCCUGUUGCUCCUCCUUCUCCUUCAUCGCCAAGAGGGGCGCUGCCUUCUACUGCUGCUCCAGCUUGGGAGGGACAAAAGAGGAGGUCGCUGGUAGAUGACGGGGGAGCAAGCAAGGACUGAUGGGUGCAUCACUACACUGCUACCCGUUUCUCAACUUUUGCUUUACACGGCACUAUUUCGACAGAAUAUUGUAGGAAGGGUGGACUAUGAAGGGAAACACUGGUGUUCUAAGAUAGAUGUUCUGUGUUUGAGAUCUUGCCUUGGUAGCUGGAUGCCUUGGUGCAAGACAUUCAAGAUGUGCAUGCUCAAAGAUUUUGGUCGGCAACUUAUAGUGUGUAUCAAAGGAUUCUGAAAAAAUAAGGUUG